ACGAUAUCAGGCCCUACGGGGCGCAGCAGGCGCGAAAACUUCGCACUGCGCGAAAGCGCGACGAGGGAAUCCCAAGUGUAUGCACGCAAGUGUAUACUGUUUCUUUGUAUAAAAAGCAAAGAGAGUAAGAGCUGGGUAAGACGGGUGCCAGCCGCCGCGGUAAUACCUGCAGCUCGAGUGGUGAUCGUUAUCAUUGGGCCUAAAACGUCC
rnacentral:rRNA from 1 species